UACGUAGGGUGCAAGCGUUGUCCGGAAUUAUUGGGCGUAAAGAGCUCGUAGGCGGUCUGUCGCGUCGGCUGUGAAAACUCGGGGCUCAACCCCGAGCCUGCAGUCGAUACGGGCAGACUAGAGUGCUGUAGGGGAGACUGGAAUUCCUGGUGUAGCGGUGAAAUGCGCAGAUAUCAGGAGGAACACCAGCAGCGAAGGCGGCGCUCUGGGCUGGAACUGACGCUGAGGAGCGAAAGCGUGGGGAGCGAACAGG
rnacentral:rRNA from 1 species